rnacentral:rRNA from 1 species
GACAAACGCUGGCGGCGUGCUCAACACAUGCAAGUCGAACGGAAAGGCCCUGCUUUUGUGGGGUGCUCGAGUGGCGAACGGGUGAGUAACACGUGAGUAACCUGCCCUUGACUUUGGGAUAACUUCAGGAAACUGGGGCUAAUACCGGAUAGGAGCUCCUGCUGCAUGGUGGGGGUUGGAAAGUUUCGGCGGUUGGGGAUGGACUCGCGGCUUAUCAGCUUGUUGGUGGGGUAGUGGCUUACCAAGGCUUUGACAGGUAGCCGGCCUGAGAGGGUGACCGGCCACAUUGGGACUGAGAUACGGCCCAGACUCCUACGGGAGGCAGCAGUGGGGAAUAUUGCACAAUGGGCGGAAGCCUGAUGCAGCAACGCCGCGUGCGGGAUGACGGCCUUCGGGUUGUAAACCGCUUUCGCCUGUGACGAAGCGUGAGUGACGGUAAUGGGUAAAGAAGCACCGGCUAACUACGUG